UUGACCUUUUAAUAUCGAGUCCAGAGAGGCUAACAAGGGUUUGGUUUUUGAAUCAAUUGACAUAAAUAAUUCCCGCGUAACUGGGACAUUUUUACUGCAAUUAUUGAAAAGUCCGGGAACUCUUAUGUUCCCGGACUUUUUUGCA
rnacentral:sRNA from 1 species